rnacentral:rRNA from 1 species
CACGUAGGAGGCGAGCGUUGUCCGGAAUCAUUGGGCGUAAAGAGCGCGCAGGCGGUCUGGCAAGUCGGGUGUGAAAUCCCGGGGCUCAACCCCGUGACUGCAUCCGAUACUGUCAGGCUAGAGGUAGGUAGGGGAGAUCGGAAUUCCUGGUGUAGCGGUGAAAUGCGCAGAUAUCAGGAGGAACACCGGUGGCGAAGGCGGAUCUCUGGGCCUUACCUGACGCUGAGGAACGAAAGCCAGGGGAGCGAACGGG